CUGCUCAGAGAGGGGGACAACAGUUGGAAACGACUGCUAAUACCGCAUAAGCCCACGGGUCGGCAUCGACCUGAGGGAAAAGGAGUGAUCCGCUUUGAGAUGGCCUCGCGUCCGAUUAGCUAGUUGGUGAGGUAACGGCCCACCAAGGCAACGAUCGGUAGCCGGACUGAGAGGUUGAACGGCCACAUUGGGACUGAGACACGGCCCAG
rnacentral:rRNA from 1 species